AUUGAACGCUGGCGGCAGGCCUAACACAUGCAAGUCGAGCGAGGGGCGGACGGGUGUGAAAUGUAUGGGGCUCUGCCAGAGGGAGGGGGAUAACUACUGGAAACGGGCUCUUAUAGCGCAUUCCCUCAGAUGAACCCAUAUGGUAUUAGCUAGUAGGUGGGGUAACGGCUUACCUGGGCGACGAUCCCUCGCUGGUCUGAGAGGAUGAACAGCCACACUGGGACUGAGACACGGCCCAGACUCCUACGGGAGGCAGCAGUGGGGAAUAUUGCACAAUGGGCGCAAGCCUGAUGCAGCCAUGCCGCGUGUGUGAAGAAGGCCUUCGGGUUGUAAAGCACUUUCAGCGGGGAGGCGUUACCGACAGAAGAAGCACCGGCUAACUCCGUGCCAGCAGCCGCGGUAAUAC
rnacentral:rRNA from 1 species